CUAAAGACUAGUCAUCUCAGUUGCCAUUCCAUUCACUUCCAUCGAAGUUGUCCCUGGGAAAUAGCAAAAAGAACCCUUAGUGCAACUGUAUUCCCAACUUCUGGUGUAUCUUUCCAAUAAUGAGACACUAAUCACAGAAGGGAAGAAGUCAGCCUACUGGAAUUCUUACAUUAGCCUUGUCUAUCCUGAAUCUUUUCACUGAUGCAAUUUCUGCAGCUUGUUCCAAGUGUAAAACUAUCACAGUAGUGAUUUGAAACCAGUGCUUAACCGAGGUGAGCCACACCAGUAAUGAGAUGUGUUCUGCAGUAUUUUCACAUGGUGGGUUGAUUACAACUUUAUGCUGAAGCACAAAUCCCUCCUUCUGUCACUGUAGUCAAGCCCUGAUUUGCAUGAAGUGAGACGGAUCGCAGCCAUGCGAUGUCAGGUGUUGGUGUGUGAUGUGUGGUCUCCUAAGAUUCGUGAUUGCAGGCAGAGACCUGAGCAUUGUUAGCAGGAGUACGUUAUCUAGUGGAAUGGUGUGAGCUGUUCCUGGGACCACAUUGAUGUGAUUUCAUUUAUUGCAUGGUAGGAGGUGGGCUGUUCAGAAGCACGUGAGGUUCUCCUAAUUCUGCUCCUGUUAACGUUCUCAUUAAUCUUCACAAUGCAUUGUAGAGUGUAUUUAACUGGUUUUAACAUGAAGACGGAUAUCCCAGUUGGAGCAGAGCAAGGUUCCUGGCGUGGUGUGACCCCAGUAUCCAUGGUGGCAAUGGAAGUAGUUGUUCCCUGUUGGUACUAUAAAGGUUUUACUGACAUGAUGAACCACAGGACAUGUUUGUCUUGAGUUCAGGAGAACAUGGCUGUUGUGUAACACAUCCUUGUUAACAUUUUGAGAUCCUGGGUGUGACAGUUCAGUUAUGAAACAGCAACCUCUACAGACUGCAAAUCCUUUUUUCCUCUUUUCAUCUUCUGCAGUUGAAGCAGCAGAAAAUACAGCUUUUAAACUGGCUCUGAAGGAAGGGUAGGAGCUAAGCAUGGGGAAGGGAGGCUGCAUCUCUCUGAGUAAAUGGCAUAGGAUUCACUAAGUCUGUAAAGCAAG
rnacentral:lncRNA from 1 species